CACCAGGUUGAUUCUGCCUGACGUAUGUGCUUGUCUUAAAGAUUUAGCCAUGCAAGUUAGUGAAACUUUUUAAGUGAAACGACAGACAGCUCAGUAAUACAGUAAUGAUUAACUUGCCUAAUAUAGGAUAACCUUGGUAACCUAAGGCUAACACUUUUUUCAAAUUAAAAUGUAGGUGAAACUAUUUUUAAUUUUUUUUUGGGGCAAUUAAGUUUCUGACCUAUCAGCUAGAUGUUAGGGUAAAGGCUUAACAUGGCUACAACGGGUAACGGAGAAUCAGGGUUUGAUUCCGGAGAGGGAGCCUGAGAAUUAGCUACCACGUCUAAGGAUGGCAGCAGGCGCGAAAAUUACCCAAUUCCUUAAUGGGAGAGGUAGUGAAAAGACAUGAUUUUCAUUUCGAUUGAGUCGGUACAUUAAAUAAGUACUGAAGCAACUGGAGGGCAAGUCUGGUGCCAGCAGCCGCGGUAAUUCCAGCUCCAGUAGCGCAUAUAAUAGUUGCUGCAGUUAAAAUGUCCGUAGUUGAUUUAAUUAAACUGUGAGUAAAUUAUAGAGCUCAAAACUAUAAGUAAGCAUGGUAUUAUAAGAUAAUAGGAACAGAUGAUGGCAAUAGUAUUCAAUAGUUAGAGGUGAAAAUUUAAGACCUAUUGAGGACUACCAGAAGCGAAAGCGAUUGUCAAGGAUGUCUCCAUUAAUAAGGGACUUAAGCUAGAGUAUCGAAGAUGAUUAGAUACCGUCGUAGUUCUAGCUGUAAACGAUGCCUACUAGGUGAUGUUUAAAUGGCUAUGCCUUAGGAGAAAUCAAAGUCUACGGGCUCUGGGGAUAGUAUACUGGCAACGGUGAAACUUAAAUGAAAUUGACGGAAGAAUACCACGAGGAGUGGAUUAUGCGGCUUAAUUUGACUCAACGCGGGACAACUUACCAGAGCCGAACCUGUAUGAGAAUUUAUAAUGUAAAUGAUAAUAGGGAAGGUGGUGCAUGGCCGUUUUCAACACGUGGGGUGACUUGUCAGGUUAAUUCCGAUAACGCGUGAGGUUUAUUAAAUAAUUGUUUAUUUGACGGAUGAUAAGAAAUCAUAGGAAGUUAAGCUAUAACAGGUCGGUGAUGCCCCUAGAUGUUCUGGGCUGCACGCGUACUACAAUGAUAUAUUUAAUAUUAAUAUUGAGAAAUAUAACUCUAAUAUAUAUCGAAGCUGGGAUAAGCUAUUGUAAAUUAGUUUUGAACUUGGAAUUCCUAGUAAUCAUAAGUCAUUAUGUUAUGAUGAAUGCGUCCCUGUUCUUUGUACACACCGCCCGUCACUAUCUAAGAUGGAUGUAUAGGUGAAAUGGCUAGACGUAAAUGGAAAGCAGUUAACCUGUGCAACUAAUAGGAUAUAAGUCGUAACAAGGCUGCUAUAGGUGAACCAGCAGCAGGAUCAUAA
rnacentral:rRNA from 13 species